rnacentral:rRNA from 1 species
CACGUAGGGCGCAAGCGUUGUCCGGAAUUAUUGGGCGUAAAGAGCUCGUAGGCGGUUUGUCGCGUCUGCUGUGAAAACUCGAGGCUCAACCUCGGGCUUGCAGUGGGUACGGGCAGACUAGAGUGCGGUAGGGGAGACUGGAAUUCCUGGUGUAGCGGUGGAAUGCGCAGAUAUCAGGAGGAACACCGAUGGCGAAGGCAGGUCUCUGGGCCGCAACUGACGCUGGAGGAGCGAAAGCAUGGGGAGCGAACAGG